CUUGUACUGGCCUUAUUCCUGGCCUUAGUCCUGGCCUUGGUCCUAGCCUUAGUUCUGGCCUUGGUCCUGGCCUUAGUCCUGGCCUUAGUCCUGGCCUUGGUCCUGGCCUUAGUCAUAGCCUUAGUCCUGGCCUUAGUCCUGGCCUUGGUCCUGGCCUUAGUCCUGACCUUGGUCCUGGCCUUAGUUCUGGCCUUGGUCCUGGCCUUGGUCCUGGCCUUAGUCCUGGCAAUUCCCACUUAAAGCUUUUAUUUUUCUAAAAUAUGUUAAAGCCAUCAAACCUUCUUAUUAAUGUAGGUUGCUUUGUUAUUCCCACCACAAUAAAGGUAAAAACUAGUAUUUUAAAGACUUUGCUUUUGCUAAAUGAUGAAAGGCCAAAAGUGCACGUCAAAGCUUUAUAGUGGAUUAAUGUAUUGUAAUGUACAAACCCAGUGAGGUAGACAAACUGCAAAAUAACAAUCAAUCGAACAGGUUUCCCUAAAAAUGCCCCCUUUCUUAUUUCAGUAAAUACUAAAUCACCUGCCUCUAUUUCCUGACCCGAGACGAAGCGUUUGUUCCUAAAGGUCUCAGGGACGGAUUACGGAAUGUACCGUACUGUAGGAGGAACAAGCAGGUAAGUCCAAGCACCUUAACAGGGAAACACACCCCAAUAGGGUCAGCUGCAGGGUGGUGGUGGCUCCAGAGGAACCUGCUGCUGACCCGGGAGGCUCUGGAGGAGGUGCAUCACAUCGUUGCUCUAGAUGGUUUCUCUCUAACGUAGAGGAGGAACAAGCAGGUGAGUCCAAGCACCUUAACAGGGAAACACACCCCAAUAGGGUCAGCUGCAGGGUGGUGGUGGCUCCAGAGGAACCUGCUGCUGACCCGGGAGGCUCUGGAGGAGGUGCAUCACAUCGUUGCUCUAGAUGGUUUCUCUCUAACGUAGAGGUAACGUAUGACAGUUCAUUUUUCCAUCAUCAUCAUUAUAUAACUGCAGUUUAGCUCUUGGCUGCAAUCGACACCCCCCUUCCCUCCAGCCCCCUGAGCCUGGACCUGCUCAAGGUUUCUUCCUGUUAAAAGGG
rnacentral:lncRNA from 1 species